AACGCAUCUUGCACUCUUUGGUAUUCCGAAGAGUAUGUCUGUUUGAGUGUCAUGAAUUCUUCAACCCUCCCUUUUCUUAGUGAAUUGAGAGGUGUUUGGAUUCUGAGUGUUGCUCCUAAUCCGAGCUCAUUCGUAAUGCAUUAGCAUCCAUAUUCGAAUUUCGGAUUGACUUGGCGUAAUAGACUAUUCGCUGAGGAAUCUAACUUCGGUUAGAGCCGUGUUUGAACUAGGAAGCUACUAAUCUAGCUUAGUCUACCUUUAGAUUAGAUCUCAAAUCAGGCAGGAUUACCCGCUGAACUUAA
rnacentral:misc_RNA from 1 species